rnacentral:rRNA from 1 species
GCCUUCGGGUUGUAAACCUCUUUCAGCAGGGAAGAAGCCACAAGUGACGGUACCUGCAGAAGAAGCGCCGGCUAACUACGUGCCAGCAGCCGCGGUAAUACGUAGGGCGCAAGCGUUGUCCGGAAUUAUUGGGCGUAAAGAGCUCGUAGGCGGUUUGUCGCGUCUGCUGUGAAAGCCCGGGGCUCAACCCCGGGUCUGCAGUGGGUACGGGCAGACUAGAGUGCAGUAGGGGAGACUGGAAUUCCUGGUGUAGCGGUGAAAUGCGCAGAUAUCAGGAGGAACACCGAUGGCGAAGGCAGGUCUCUGGGCUGUUACUGACGCUGAGGAGCGAAAGCAUGGGGAGCGAACAGGAUUAGAUACCCUGGUAGUCCAUGCCGUAAACGUUGGGCACUAGGUGUGGGGGACAUUCCACGUUCUCCGCGCCGUAGCUAACGCAUUAAGUGCCCCGCCUGGGGAGUACGGCCGCAAGGCUAAAACUCAAAGGAAUUGACGGGGGCCCGCACAAGCGGCGGAGCAUGCGGAUUAAUUCGAUGCAACGCGAAGAACCUUACCAAGGCUUGACAUUCACCGGACCGCACUGGAGACAGUGCUUCCCUUCGGGGUCGGUGGACAGGUGGUGCAUGGUUGUCGUCAGCUCGUGUCGUGAGAUGUUGGGUUAAGUCCCGCAACGAGCGCAACCCUCGUUCUAUGUUGCCAGCACGUGAUGGUGGGGACUCAUAGGAGACUGCCGGGGUCAACUCGGAGGAAGGUGGGGAUGACGUCAAAUCAUCAUGCCCCUUAUGUCUUGGGCUUCACGCAUGCUACAAUGGCCGGUACAAAGGGUUGCGAUACUGUGAGGUGGAGCUAAUCCGU